rnacentral:rRNA from 1 species
AUGAACGCUGGCGGCGUGCCUAAUACAUGCCAGUCGAGCGCACAGACGAGGAGCUUGCUCCUCUGACGUUAGCGGCGGACGGGUGAGUAACACGUGGAUAACCUACCUAUAAGACUGGGAUAACUUCGGGAAACCGGAGCUAAUACCGGAUAAUAUAUUUAACCGCAUGGUUCAAUAGUGAAAGACGGUUUUGCUGUCACUUAUAGAUGGAUCCGCGCCGCAUUAGCUAGUUGGUAAGGUAACGGCUUACCAAGGCAACGAUGCGUAGCCGACCUGAGAGGGUGAUCGGCCACACUGGAACUGAGACACGGUCCAGACUCCUACGGGAGGCAGCAGUAGGGAAUCUUCCGCAAUGGGCGAAAGCCUGACGGAGCAACGCCGCGUGAGUGAUGAAGGUCUUCGGAUCGUAAAACUCUGUUAUUAGGGAAGAACAAAUGUGUAAGUAACUAUGCACGUCUUGACGGUACCUAAUCAGAAAGCCACGGCUAACUACGUG